rnacentral:rRNA from 1 species
UUCAACGGCCGCGGUAUCCUAACCGUGCAAAGGUAGCGCAAUCAAUUGUCCCGUAAAUCGGGACUAGUAUGAAUGGCUAAACGAGGUCUUAACUGUCUCUUACAGGCAAUCGGUGAAAUUGAUCUCCCUGUGCAAAAGCAGGGAUAACCACAUAAGACGAGAAGACCCUGUGGAACUUCAAAAUCAGCAACCAACCCUGAAAACAUACACACCCACCCCGGGCUCACCCACCAACAGGGCUACUGGUCUGCAUUUUUCGGUUGGGGCGACCUUGGAGCAAAACAAAACCUCCAAAAAUUGGACCACACAUCCAGACUAAGAGCAACCCCUCAACGUGCUAAUAGCACCCAGACCCAAUAUAAUUGAUCAAUGGACCAAGCUACCCCAGGGAUAACAGCGCAAUCUCCUCCAAGAGUCCAUAUCGACGGGGAGGUUUACGACCUCGAUGUUGGAUCAGGACAUCCUAGUGGUGCAGCCGCUACUAA